CCCCCCCGCCGGCAGCGGCGGUACCGUAAAGACUCGGGUUUUGAACCGGUUUCACACCUACCCGAGUCCGAAGCCGCAGGUAAUCAAAACCCACAACGUGAAUCCUCCUCCGGCGAGGAGUAGAUCGUCGGUUUGGGGGAAUCUGAGACUGGGUUUAGUCCGUGCUCCGGGAAUCGAGUUCCAGCCGGAUCUGAAGUCGAGAAGCACCGGCAGCGGCAGCAGCAGAACAGAGAAACAGAGCACCAGCAAAAACCCGCCUCCGGUCGACGCUCCGCCGGCGACGAGAACUAGUAGCGGGAGGUUGUUAUUCAGCGGCUGCGACUGCGGGAUCGGAGGAG
rnacentral:lncRNA from 1 species